CACAGUACUGUACAUACACAACGAUGGACAACGACAGUAAAGAGAUCAUAUCGAUUGUCAAUAUUGAUAAGAGGGAGGCCUAGAAGAAUUCUGUUAUCAUGGAGAAGGAGGCUUUCAUCCGGACCUUUGAGACUCUCCACCAAGAGAUUUGCCUACAGGAGUUUUGCACUGAUGCUCAUUCACAGAUCUCGGCGCUCUUCAAUCCAACAAAAGGCAGGUUCAAGGACUCUGGUGUUCGACACACCCUUGACAUCUGGCAUGGGUCAAAGAACUUGGGUAAAAAAAUCCAUGCAGCAGGCCUUCGGAAAGGAUGUUCAAUUCUCCUUACCUGGAGUAAGGAGAUAUGCAACCAUUUCUGGUAUUGCUGUAAGACUGCACAGAACACUAAUCAGUUCGGUGUAAGUAUUGUGUUGAAAUUCUGUUUAGGAUUUCACUUUGCGAUU